UCAACUUAAGAAACUUGAGAUCCUUCCUAACGUUAACAACAAAUUGAAGUUUAAACACCUCCUUUACCCUUUCAAAGAUUCUUACUAUGUUUCUGACCAAUUUUACUUACGUGGUAUUGUAAAGUAUGUUGACUUUAUAUUGCUGUGCCUUUGAAUAGCAUCACAGAAGAAAGACAAGAAAUCUAAAGAUGAAUCAUAUAAAAUCUUUUUGCUAUGAAGGGGGGGACAGAUCAAGAAAUGUCAUACUUCAAUAGCUACAGCUGCUUAGGUAUGAGAGAGUUCCCAAAUGCAGUACUGAGAAGAGAAAAAAAGGCAACUAGAAUGUAUGACACCAACAAAAAUAUUUUUCUUUUUGAAUUAAAAAUAAG